GAUUCAUAUACACAGGAUCGGUUAAGAUCACUAAUGAUAUCGCGUAAGAUCUUCUACAAGCUGCGGAUCAGUAUCUUCUUGAGGGUCUUAAACGGCUAUGUGAAUAUGCCAUUACACAAGAAGUUUGCAUAGACAAUGUCUCCAGCAUGUACGAAUUGUCAGAGGCAUUCCAUGCCAUGUCCCUGAGGCACACUUGUGUCAUGUUUAUUUUAGAGCAAUUCGAGAAAAUCAACUCGUCCAAGGCAUUCCCAUCUAAUCCAGUGAAUAACUCCAGAGAUCCGCAACUAAUUUGGUAAAGCUUUGAGGCCGAAACUGAGAAAAUCCUUUAACUAACUGUUCCUUUUUGACAGCAUCUUCUCUAACUCAUGCUGCUGCUGUUGGAGGCUUGUACAGUUGGAGUCUUUCUGCACCAAACAUCUAUUUCCGAGGGGGGUUCUUUAGGCCCAUAUCUUAGUUUGUUCCAAUCUUCUCAAGAGCAUUAUUUGUUCUUAUCAUUUAUUUUGAUACCCGACAUGUUUACUCCCUAUUUUGACAAUUUUUACUAUUUUGUAGACUUGAUAUUAGUUAUUUGAAUUCGUUUGUAACUUCCAAAGCUGGAAUAAUAGAUUCAGAUUGGAUGUUUAAAUUCAUUCAAAAUUCUAAAUAUGUAAUUUAGAUGCAAUUCGAUCAUUUUUCCGAGUCCUAAGUUGAAUUGUUUGUUCGUCUAUCUCAAUUGUCUUGUAUUUCUUAACAGUGGCUUAUUAGUUGCUGAUACUAUGAAUUUUUAUUCAUCUAACAAAUUUAACAUGAUGUAAGCGUUCUUCUCGCUAUUGAAA